UACGUAGGGCGCAAGCGUUGUCCGGAAUUAUUGGGCGUAAAGAGCUCGUAGGCGGCCUGUUGCGUCCGCUGUGAAAUCCCGGGGCUCAACCCCGGGCCUGCAGUGGAUACGGGCUGGCUAAAGGCAGGCAGGGGAGAACGGAAUUCCUGGUGUAGCGGUGAAAUGCGCAGAUAUCAGGAGGAACACCGGUGGCGAAGGCGGUUCUCUGGGCCUGUACUGACGCUGAGGAGCGAAAGCGUGGGGAGCGAACAGG
rnacentral:rRNA from 1 species